rnacentral:rRNA from 1 species
AUUGAACGCUGGCGGCAGGCCUAACACAUGCAAGUCGAGCGGAUGAAGGGAGCUUGCUCCUGGAUUCAGCGGCGGACGGGUGGGUAAUGCCUAGGAAUCUGCCUGGUAGUGGGGGAUAACGUCCGGAAACGGGCGCUAAUACCGCAUACGUCCUGAGGGAGAAAGUGGGGGAUCUUCGGACCUCACGCUAUCAGAUGAGCCUAGGUCGGAUUAGCUAGUUGGUGGGGUAAAGGCCUACCAAGGCGACGAUCCGUAACUGGUCUGAGAGGAUGAUCAGUCACACUGGAACUGAGACACGGUCCAGACUCCUACGGUAGGCAGCAGUGGGGAAUAUUGGACAAUGGGCGAAAGCCUGAUCCAGCCAUGCCGCGUGUGUGAAGAAGGUCUUCUGAUUGUAAAGCACUUUAAGUUGGGAGGAAGGGCAGUAAGUUAAUACCUUGCUGUUUUGACGUUACCAACAGAAUAAGCACCGGCUAACUUCGUG